ACUGCUCAGUAACACGUGGAUAACCUGCCCUGCGGUGGGAAAUAACCCCGGGAAACUGGGGAUAAUGUCCCAUAGGCUACGGAUACUGGAAUGUUCUGUAGUUGAAAGAUUUAUCGCCGCAGGAUGGGUCUGCGCCCGAUUAGGUUGUUGUUGGGGUAACGGCCCAACAAGCCCUUGAUCGGUACGGGUUGUGGGAGCAAGAGCCCGGAGAUGGAUUCUGAGACACGAAUCCAGGCCCUACGGGGCGCAGCAGGCGCGAAAACUUUACAAUGCGGGAAACCGUGAUAAGGGAACUCCGAGUGUCCGUAAAUGCGGACUGUCCGUAUGUUUAAAAAGCAUGCGAAGAAAGGGCCGGGCAAGACCGGUGCCAGCCGCCGCGGUAAUACCGGCGGCUCGAGUGGUGGCCACUAUUACUGGGCUUAAAGCGUUCGUAGCUGGGUUGUUAAGUCUCUUGGGAAAUCUACCGGCUUAACCGAUAGGCGUCCAAGGGAUACUGGCAUUCUAGGGACCGGGAGAGGUGAGGGGUACUUCAGGGGUAGGAGUGAAAUCUUGUAAUCCCUGGGGGACCACCUGUGGCGAAGGCGCCUCACCAGAACGGCUCCGACAGUGAGGGACGAAAGCUGGGGGAGCAAACCGGAUUAGAUACCCGGGUAGUCCCAGCCGUAAACGAUGCGCGUUAGGUGUAUCGAUGACCACGAGUCAUCGAGGUGCCGAAGGGAAACCGUGAAACGCGCCGCCUGGGAAGUACGGUCGCAAGGCUGAAACUUAAAGGAAUUGGCGGGGGAG
rnacentral:rRNA from 1 species